GCCCGGGUGGUGAAAUUGGUAGACACAGGAGACUUAAAAUCUCCCGACUGGAAGCAGUCGUACCGGUUCAAUUCCGGUCCCGGGCACCA
rnacentral:tRNA from 1 species